GGUACAGCAAUCACAGUAGCAGGUGGUCCAAAAGGGUAUCCUCCUUUCUUGGUCCUGUUCAGCUGACGGAUAUACACCUUGUCACCGGGCUGGUAUGAAUGAGUAGGUUCCUGUGAAGGUAAGGGAAAACUGCGAAGAAACAUUGUCAUACAUACCAUUCGGUUUUAUCAACAAUUCAUCUUGUGGGGAUAUAUUCUUAUCUCAGCUAAAAUAGCUGGUAGAUAUCUAGUCCAAUUUUCCCAUGUUCCUGGGUAAAUUCUGGGCUUUUCCUUAAUAGUCCUAUUCAUCCUUUCAACUACCCCUGUAUUCUGUGGAUGAUAGGGUAUAUGAAACUGCCAGGUAACUUGCAAGAAUUUAGCAAGUUCCUGGGCAACCCUACUGGCAAAUACCGGGCCAUUAUCAGAGCCAAUCUGCAGAGGGCAGCCAUACCUGGGAAUAAUUUCAGUAACAAUAAUCUUCACUAGCAUCUUCCCUAGAUGUCACAAAGGCCUCAUGCCAUCUACUAAACUGAUUAACUAUGACCAGUAAGUAUUGCUGUUUCUUACCAAUUUUGGAUACAUGAAUAAAAUCAAUCUGUAAGUGUGUAAAAAGAGCAGUGUUCACACGAUCUUACAAAAGACUGUACAUGCUGCCUGAGAUUCCUAAUAUAAAAUGAAUUCAUGAAGAAUUGAAUGGUGCUUGCUAUGUGCCUGACUGAUGAAAAUAAAUCAGCUUGCUUCAAGUAUGCCUAUUCUUCAAGUAUGCCUAUUCUCCCCUCUUUAGAGAACAGAUCAUUCUGAUCUUUCUCUAAACCUUGUUUAAUCCAAAAGACAGAUUCUGGGUAUUAAAAAAAAGAAUCUCAUAACCACUGAAGCGCUGGGCUGUCAUGUGUUGUAUGGUGAUAUUUAUUAUCAGCUGAGUGACCUGGUGACUGGCAUAAAAUAUUGUAGGAUGCCCUAGUGUGAUAGUAGUAGCAGUUUCAACAGCCAUUGCACAUGCUAUCAAUGCUCUGAGACACGCCGGCAUACCCUGUACCGGAGCUCGAACUACUUUGGAAAAGAAUGCUAUGGGACGCAUACCGCCUCCUUGCUCUUGUGCACAGACUGCGGCCAUGGUUUUACAAUUGUCCCAAGCAUACAAAUGAAAUGGUUUACAAUACACAGGUAGUCCUAAAGCCUGGGCUUGCACAAUAACAACUGUAAGGGCAAUAUAUGCAGCUAGCAUGUCUGGUGACCAGCAGACAUUUUCAGGGCUGUCAGAACGUACAGCCUCCCUUAGGAUUGAGUUAUAAUGGGAGCAUUCAGGGAUCCAUUGGCGGCAGUAAUUAAUCAUGCCGAGGAAGGUGAGCAACUCCUUCCGAGUAGUGGGUGUAGGAAUCCUCUGAAUGACCUCAAUACGUUUUGGACUCAAUUGUCUGGUGCCUAAAGCCAGAACAAAACCUAAGUAUUCAACCUUUGAUUUACACAAUUGCAUUUUGUGUUUAACAACCUUGUGACCUACAGUUGCUGACAGUAUCCACAGUGCUUGCCUCAGAGCUAGGGCUACAUAACAACAAAUCAUCAACAUUUUGCAAAAAGGACGGAACCAUGACCGGUGGUCCAUGUUUUUUAGAGUAUGUUAGAGUACCAACGAAUAA